rnacentral:tRNA from 1 species
CGGAUGUAGCCAANUGGAUCAAGGCAGUGGAUUGUUAAUCCACCC